UACGUAGGGGGCGAGCGUUGUCCGGAAUCAUUGGGCGUAAAGAGCUCGUAGGCGGCUCAGUAAGUCGGGUGUGAAACCCCCAGGCUCAACCUGGGGACGCCACCCGAUACUGCUGUGGCUAGAGUCCAGUAGGGGAGUGUGGAAUUCCCGGUGUAGCGGUGAAAUGCGCAGAUAUCGGGAGGAACACCAGCGGCGAAGGCGGCACUCUGGGCUGGAACUGACGCUGAGGAGCGAAAGCGUGGGUAGCAAACAGG
rnacentral:rRNA from 1 species